rnacentral:rRNA from 1 species
UACGUAGGUGACCAGCGUUGUCCGGAUUUACUGGGCGUAAAGAGCGCGCAGGCGGUCGUUCAAGUCGAGUGUGAAAGCCCCCGGCUCAACUGGGGAGGGUCACUCGAUACUGAUCGACUCGAAGGCAGGAGAGGGAAGCGGAAUUCCCGGUGUAGUGGUGAAAUGCGUAGAUAUUGGGAGGAACACCGGUGGCGAAGGCGGCCCUCUGGACCGGUACUGACGCUGAUGCGCGAAAGCCAGGGGAGCGAACGGG